ACUCCUACGGGAGGAAGCAGUGGGGAAUAUUGCACAAUGGGCGCAAGCCUGAUGCAGCAACGCCGCGUGAGUGAUGAAGGCCUUCGGGUCGUAAAGCUCUGUCCUCAAGGAAGAAUAAAUGACGGUACUUGAGGAGGAAGCCCCGGCUAACUACGUGCCAGCAGCCGCGGUAAUACGUAGGGGCAAGCGUUAUCCGGAAUCACUGGGCGUAAAGGGUGCGUAGGCGGUUUUUCAAGUCAGAAGUGAAAGGCUAUGGCUCAACCAUAGUAAGCUUUUGAAAACUGUUAAACUUGAGUGCAGGAGAGGAAAGUGGAAUUCCUAGUGUAGAGUGAAAUUCGUAGAUAUUAGGAGGAACACCG
rnacentral:rRNA from 1 species